AGUAACUUACACCUAGUAAAGUGAGACACUGUUUCUCUUACAUGGUUAUUAUAAUUAUGUUUAAAGAUAAUAAGUUACCUUGCAUGCAUGCAUGCUUGCACAUUUACCUAUACUCCCAUUGCUUUCUACAGGAUGCUUCCGCCAUGGCACAAUAGACCCAGCAACCCCUUACAAAGGGGUGAUAAUAUUGGGAAUGAUGAUAUUGAUUGACCCGAUUCGUUCCCGUUCCCCACCCAUUAUCGCUCUGAUAUUGAAGCAGGUUUGCACCUGAAGUGUAUGUAUGGAUUUGGUAGUUCAGGCCAGGAUUGCCAGCGUAAUGUAAAUGCAUAAAAAAAAUCCAAGUGCUGAUGACUACAGAAGUGUUGCCGCUCAAGUAGUCAAAUGCUACCUAUCCUGUUGUCACCACUGGAAGGAACUAAGAGGAGGCAAAAUCAGAAGGAAGAAGCGUGAAGAUAGAGCACAUCAGCACAUUUGAAAAAUCCAAAAAGCGACAAAAGAGUGUUUCUGAAGGGAAGACGAAUGAAUGCUCUUAUAUCUGCAACUGCAAGUAUGUUUCCUUUAGGGAUUUUUCUCAUACAAAAGUAUAUCAAUUUUGCACGUUUCUCCGUGGAGAAAGUAAAUUCCAAAUAUGGUUUCUGUGAAAAAACUAUAACGUGCCUCACAUUGCUCAGCAGUAUAUAAAGGAAGGAGAUUUCCGAGCAUCUUGUUCAUACAUGUUUCUGCCAUUUUGGACAACUUAUAAUUCCUUUCAGUUUCCCUUUCUUGCAUGGGAACAAGGAAGUUCUGAUUGCCAAACUCUGGAGGCACCUCGGGAAAGAAAACAGCCCCUCAGAUGCUGAUCUUUGGUCGAAAUCUUGGAGUGUACGAAAACAUCCAGUAUAUACGCUUAGCCUAUUAUUGUAUUUAUGCAAGCCCUCGCGACAC